AGCAACAGUACAGCAACUCACAACACCUCUGCUCAGACUUAAAAGAAAACAUCAUACAUAGUCACUUCUCAGGAAGGUGGAGGCUAACGGCUUCGCCUCUUCUACAGACUUUCUGCUCAGGUUGCCCUGGAGCUUCCAUCCGCCUUCAGGAAAAUGCAGGAAGGACUGGCACAGCCUUUUAGCAAUUCAAGAUGGAAAAAGUUAUAUGGUUACCCUCCAUAUGGGAGGAUGCGGGGACAUGUGAGAGAUUAAACCGAUAGAUUUUGAAGUUGCUUCUGCAUUUCUGAAUAAUCCCAUAGCGUACCCAGAUAACAAAUUAAAAUCUGUUGGACGUAUCAUUUAUUUUUGACAUACCAGUAACCGUGAAUACGAGAGCCAUUCUGACAAUAACUAAGGACCAAGGGGGACCAGCAGUAAUACCUGCUUAUUAUUUUCUGUAAUGGAAAGACAAGCAGUCUUUAAUGGCUCACUUCAGGAUCUGAAUGAUCUCAAGAGCAAAUCAUACUGCAGGAGCCAAAUCUUGAGCUGUGGUGUUCUUUUGUGCUGAAGCAAAUACAGAGCCCUCAUACUGUCAGUAUUGAUACUCAGAUGAGGAACAGUAAACAUGAGAAACGAGGAGAGGUUAACUUAAGCUGCACCAACUCAGCUGGCAGUGCACAUACACUACAGGAAAAGAGUUGUCUUUGCCAUGUGAAGGUAAGUUACCACAUGGUUAGCAUAUACCCAAUGGAAACCACUGUCCCAGCUCAAGGAUUGCUUACACACAGAAGUUUAUGUCUGGAACAGUCUUCUGAUACUGAGGUGGGGACAGAUGGCAAGGAGCACUGGUACAGGUGCAUGGAGAUCUCUACACACUGGAGACUGGACACAAAGUCCUAACAGUAAAUGAAUAUUCGAGUUCAACCUAAAUUGAAUAAAUCCAGCACAAAGCAGGAGAAAUCUGAGAUGAGAUGAUGAUUGUUCCAUGUACACUUCAAAGAUCUAUGAGCUGUAAAAUUUUUCAGUUGCUAGAAAUUCUCUAGGAGAUUGAUUUGCCAUGAAGACUCUAACGCACGUGAAGAUACAUCUCCCACUGGGAGCAGCAGUGGGAAUACAUCUCCCACUGCUGCUACAUUAUCAGUGCCCAGGUCAGUCUGUUGCUUAUGCUCUAAUGGAGCAAUGUCCUUGCCCAGAGCACAGGAGCUGGGACAGCCAUGCCCAGAAAUGAUGUGUUUUGUGAUUUAGUUUUUUAGGAGUGCUAAUUUUAAAAAUAGAGAUAAAAACCUUACUGUUUCAAAGGCUGGGUUUCCAGUGUCAGGCAGGCACCUGGGAAAAAAACUAACAAAACUGAUUUAUAACUGUCAUUUGCUGAUGGGAAAGCUAUGAAACAAAGUGAUAGUACUGGGUUUUCAGCCAACUGCUAACUACAGCCAUGCUAAAGAGAGGCUGAACCACAAGAGUCAGGCCCACUAAAGGUGGCAACAGAGUAUGGCCUGCAGGAAAAUCAAGAAAACAAAAUGCUAUGACAUGAGUGUCCAACCUUUUGGCUUGUCUGGGCCACUGCGAGUAGAGUUGUCUUGGGCUGCAUAUACAGAAGUUGCUCUGAAAGUAAUGAUUCCUAUUUAUUUCAAUGAAGACGACAGGAGCGGAAUAACACUAUUUGAUAGAGAAAAAUUCUCACCUACAAAGCACUAUUUUUCAACACAGUCACCACCAUUAGCUGUGUAUUUUUGCCGGCCAUGAACAGGAGCUUGCAUGCAGUGCCCCUAAACAUCUGCACCAGUGCUGGUGAUCUAUUGUCACCACUGCUAAAACUCAUCACCCACUGUCUCACUGUGCAGUGUCCUAUU
ensembl:lncRNA